rnacentral:rRNA from 1 species
GACGAAGGAGGGCAAGUGUUAUUCUUCGUGAUUGGGCGUAAAGGGUGCGUAGACGGUUUUUUAAACCCAAUUUGUAAAAUCCCAUAUUUCAGCUAUGGUUUGGAUUGGCCGAUUGGAGAGCUAGAGUUUUGAGGGGUAGGUCGUACUUUUAAGGUAGGGGUAAAAUCUGACGAAUUUAAAGGGACGAGCAGUAGGUGAAAACAACCUG